rnacentral:pre_miRNA from 1 species
AGUGGGAUAACUGGGUCAAAUGGUGAUUCCAUUUCAAGUUUUCUAAGAAAUAUUCCGACUGCUUUCCAGAGUGGUUGCACCAAUUUACAGUCCCAACAGCAAU